CCUUGCCCUGCUUGUCCAGCUACAGCUUAAUCCAGUAUAAACAACACAAUUUCAGGACCAGGAGAAGGAACAUGAGAGAAUUCUCAAAGCUGCACCAAAGAAAUAAAGCAAACAGUAACUGGGGUCAAAAUAUUAAU